rnacentral:rRNA from 1 species
CACUAUUAGAAACAUCACUAAUAGCUCCGUCUGCCCAAUGUCAUCACAUAAAUAGCCGCAAUUAUAUGUGCUAAGGUAGCAUAAUAAAUAGCCUAUUAAUUAUAGGAUAGAAUGAACGACCAAACGAAUUUUUACCUCCCUCAAUCUGCCCCCAAAAACCUACACCCAGAGUUAAAAUGCUCUAUCCCCCUAGAAAGACGACAAGACCCUAAUGAACUUAACUACAAGUUAAACUGGGGCGGUUCCUAACCACUUCUUACUACUCCCCCCCAAAAAAAAUCUACCCACUAAUUCAUCAAGUUACCAUAGGGAUAACAGCACAAUUUCUAUCCAAAGCCCUUAUUAAAAUAGAAGAUUAUGACCUCGAUGUUGAAUGAAAACCUGGGUCUAAGCAAAAAUAACCUCAAGGAAGUCUGUUCGACUUAUAACCAUUCACA